UACGUAGGGUGCAAGCGUUAUCCGGAAUUAUUGGGCGUAAAGAGCUCGUAGGCGGUCUGUUGCGUCGGCUGUGAAAACCCGGGGCUCAACUCCGGGCCUGCAGCCGAUACGGGCAGACUAGAGUUCGGCAGGGGAGACUGGAAUUCCUGGUGUAGCGGUGAAAUGCGCAGAUAUCAGGAGGAACACCGGUGGCGAAGGCGGGUCUCUGGGCCGAUACUGACGCUGAGGAGCGAAAGCGUGGGGAGCGAACAGG
rnacentral:rRNA from 1 species